rnacentral:rRNA from 1 species
GUGGGGAAUAUUGGACAAUGGGCGCAAGCCUGAUCCAGCCAUGCCGCGUGAGUGAAGAAGGCCUUCGGGUUGUAAAGCUCUUUUGUACGGGAAGAAACACGGCCGGUUAAUACCCGGCUGGACUGACGGUACCGUAAGAAUAAGCACCGGCUAACUUCGUGCCAGCAGCCGCGGUAAUACGAAGGGUGCAAGCGUUACUCGGAAUUACUGGGCGUAAAGCGUGCGUAGGUGGUGCGUUAAGUCCGAUGUGAAAGCCCUGGGCUCAACCUGGGAAUGGCAUUGGAUACUGGCGUGCUCGAGUACGGUAGAGGGUGGCGGAAUUCCCGGUGUAGCAGUGAAAUGCGUAGAGAUCGGGAGGAACAUCCGUGGCGAAGGCGGCCACCUGGACCAGUACUGACACUGAGGCACGAAAGCGUGGAGAGCAA